UCAUAGAAUAACUCUCAUGAAGAGAGCUCAAAGUAACCGAGUUAAAAAACAAAGAAUGACUAUCGGUAAAGAAAUCGAUGACGUAAGAAUUUCUGUUAACAUUACUAUUCGGUGUGAAACAUUUAUUGAAUGGAAUGUAUUCGCUCAAACAGAAGAACAGGAAGCUUUUAACACAUCUAAUUAUCUUCAAGUUUUUGUAUAUUUAUAAAUUAUGGCACAUGUAUCUUUAAUUCUUAUGUUAUGAUUCUAGUUGAAUGUUGUACUUUAAUACGUUUUAAAAUGUAGUAUCAACAGGGUUUUUUUUUUUUUAAUUUGUUAAAGACGCAUAGACUUUUACUAUGAUUGGUAACCUUAGGUAGGGAAAUCAAUAUGAUGGAAAAGACAAUGCUAUCGCUAAAUGAAUAUGAAGAUUCGUAUAAUAAAGUAAAAAAUCGAAACGGCAUCGGUCGUGUAGUCACAUUCAGUGCGGAAUUGUUGCAAAUCAUGAGCAAAGUACUGAAAAACGCAAAAAAGUUGGUCUUGCCAGCCACAAACACAUUGAAGAAAAAAUAUAUGUCUGUAAAUGAUUAUCAUAAGUGCAGACUCCUACUUCUUCAAAAGAGGCUACCACGACUUAUGAUAGAUUUCCAAAAUAUUAUACAGUACCUAUAUUUAUCAAACAGUUGGGACCAAAACGACAUUUGCGUCUAUGUAUUUAGUGACCAUAAUUUGAAACGUUCCCAAUUGUUAGAUUUGCUCAAGCGUUAUUUUAGUAUUCCCGAGAAGACCCUUUUAGGCGGUUACCUAGAAGAAUAUCAAUUCAACUGUAAAAGGUUCCGUUUUUUAUUAUGAGACACCUAAGCGUGUCGAAACUAAGCUUUUUGUAUACACCUGAAGUUAACAAAUUUUUCUUAAUAAAUGACCCACGACAUUAAUGCUAUAUAGGUUGUUUUUAUUUAAUGAUGAUAUAGCUGACCGUGGACGUUAUGCUGUUGAAAUUUUUUUAAUACUUUUUUCAUUUAAACUAGCUUUCCAAGUAGUGUUAUUAUUAAUAGACGAAAUCACGAAAGCUGGAAUAUGAAUGAAAUUCACGGUUUUUUCACAGAAGGUUAAGCAAUGUGUUAAAAAAAAAAAUUAUUCAAGUUAACCUUGCAUCUUUUUGUUUAGUUCGAACUAAAUAUUGCGUUUCUAUUUAUAAAAAAUUUUAAGAUAUUUUCAAUAAGCUACGACUAUGUAUAGUUGUGAAAAAAAAAAUUCUUGUUGUUCAUGUCGGUUAGUUACGACAUAAUGAAGUCACAAUCAAAAUGAUUAAUAAGAUUUAUCGUAAAAAACAAUGCUUUUUGCUCCGUCAUCCUUAGAGUUACUUUUAAAUGUUUAUUUUGCUCUAAUUAAAAAUUGAAAUUGCCUUGCACACCAGGGUACGAUACUCUUUGAUAUGUUAUGGUUAGAUCCCGUGGAUGGCUUAGGUACAAACUUCAAUGGGCGUGGAGUGGAUUGUAUAGCGUUUGGUCCGAAUGUCAGUUAAAAUUUUUUUUCGCAAAGAAAUCAUCAUGGGAUAUGUAUUUGUUCUCGUUAGGUGACUUUUUUUUAUGAAUGUGUUUUCAAUCCCUUUACGGUAAAAGACCGAUUGAGACUAGAAGAACGAAUCUACAAUAUAGAAAUUUUCAAUUGAAUGAAUUAAAUAUAAUAGAUAGAAAGAACAAUAGUUUGACGUCUUUAUGUU